AUUGAACGCUGGCGGCAGGCCUAACACAUGCAAGUCGAGCGGAUGGAGGGAGCUUGCUCCUGGAUUCAGCGGCGGACGGGUGAGUAAUGCCUAGGAAUCUGCCUGGUAGUGGGGGAUAACGUCCGGAAACGGGCGCUAAUACCGCAUACGUCCUGAGGGGGAAAGUGGGGGAUCUUCGGACCUCACGCUAUCAGAUGAGCCUAGGUCGGAUUAGCUAGUUGGUGGGGUAAAGGCCUACCAAGGCGACGAUCCGUAACUGGUCUGAGAGGAUGAUCAGUCACACUGGAACUGAGACACGGUCCAGACUCCUACGGGAGGCAGCAGUGGGGAAUAUUGGACAAUGGGCGAAAUCCUGAUCCAGCCAUGCCGCGGGUGUGAAGAAGGUCUUCGGAUUGUAAAGCACUUUAAGUUGGGAGGAAGGGUAGUAAGUUAAUACCUUGCUGUUUUGACGUUACCAACAGAAUAAGCACCGGCUAACUUCGUG
rnacentral:rRNA from 1 species